UAUACCAGGGCCAGGGCGGAUGUCCUC
rnacentral:sRNA from 1 species